rnacentral:piRNA from 1 species
UGUCUGUCGAGUAGACCUCAUCCCAACAU